rnacentral:misc_RNA from 1 species
AGCUUUAUUCGGGGAAAAAGAAUGGUACUUCUUCAGCCCAAGAGACCGUAAAUAUCCAAACGGGUCUAGACCGAACCGGGUUGCCGGCUCGGGUUACUGGAAGGCUACCGGUACGGACAAAAUAAUCUCGUCGGAAGGGAAGAACGUGGGGAUUAAAAAGGCACUGGUUUUCUAUGUGGGAAAAGCUCCGAAGGGAACAAAAACGAAUUGGAUUAUGCACGAGUAUCGCCUCAUAUCCUCCUCCAGAAAAACUGGAAGCUCCAAGCUGGACGAUUGGGU